rnacentral:tRNA from 1 species
GCCGGAGUGGUGGAAUUGGUAGACACAGGGGAUUCAAAAUCCCCCGGCAGCAAUGCCUUGCCGGUUCAAGUCCGGCCUUCGGUA